rnacentral:rRNA from 1 species
GAUGAACGCUGGCGGCGUGCUUAACACAUGCAAGUCGAACGAGAAUCUACGGAUAGAGGAUUCGUCCAAUUGAAGUAGAGGAAAGUGGCGGACGGGUGAGUAACGCGUGAGGAACCUGCCUAGGAGUGGGGAAUAACAGUCCGAAAGGACUGCUAAUACCGCAUAAUGCAGUUGGGUCGCAUGGCUCUGACUGCCAAAGAUUUAUCGCUCUUAGAUGGCCUCGCGUCUGAUUAGCUAGUUGGUAGGGUAACGGCCUACCAAGGCGACGAUCAGUAGGCGGACUGAGAGGAUGGCCGGCCAGAUUGGGGCUGAGACACGGCCCAGACUCCUACGGGAGGCAGCAGUGGGGAAUAUUGGGCAAUGGGCGCAAGCCUGACCCAGCAACGCCGCGUGAAGGAAGAAGGCUUUCGGGUUGUAAACUUCUUUUAUCAGGGACGAAACAAAUGACGGUACCUGAUGAAUAAGCCACGGCUAACUACGUGCCAGCAGCCGCGGUAAUAC